GUCCGUAGCGGAGAGCAGAACGCAAAUUUUUCUCGCGAGUCUAUUUUUAAUAAUAAAAAAAAACUUUUCCCUUCCGUGCGGCGUGCACGGCAGCUGUGUUGUGUUGUUGAGUUGUUAAAUUUGCAAUCGCACUUAAUUCAGCUCUUAGCAACCGUAAAGGGUUGUUGUGAGGUUUGCCUUUUUGCCGGAACACCUCAACUAGGAAGCGUGUCAGAUAUUUUUGUUUUCAAAGCAAAGGGCGAUGGUAAUGCAUCGAAAUGUACAGUGGCUGAAGCUUGGUGUACAGAGAUUCGCAUAGCGUUGAUGUGUGCAAAGUGUCAGUGAGCAAAAUUGUUGUGAAAGAUGAUUCUUUGCAAUUCGAUGGUUCACAUUAGCCACCCUUUACAUUCCAUAAGCACGCAAAAACGAGUCAUUAUUUGCGAGGCGUGUUAUAUACAUUGAAGUUGUGGGAGAGAUGAAAACCCGUGUGACAAACAGCGAAUCAAAAAGAAUUGAAAGAUAUUUCAGUGUGACACAUAGCGUGAGAUAGAGAGAGAAAGAGCGAGAGAGCGUUUGCCUGGCAAUUCAGAUUAGGAAUAAGUUUGGGUGAAAUAAGCGAGACGAAGUGAGGAAGGCAAUCAAAAAAGGAAAACAAACCAACUAUUCAGCUUGGUCGUACCUUCCACUUUCCGAUUCCCAUGUAAAUAAAAGGCAAAACGAUAGAUUUUGCGUUCACGAGACCGGUUUUUGUCAAAUAACCUGUCGCUGUUUUACCCCAAUGUAGUGUAGUGAUAGAAAACAAAGGAAUUAAUAUAUUUCAGACACCGUUGUAAUUAUUCCAUAAUGUUGUAAUACUGCACAAUUGUUUUUGGUGUAGAUUUUACCAUCAACAUUAGAGCAGAAGGUCACAAGAAAGAGUCGUUUUGCAGAAAGAGAAACUUUUUUCGUUGCCAAGAUGUUUGUAUCGUGUGCGGGAUUUGUGGUUGCGUGUGCGCGCGCAGAUGUGUCUUGGCAUUCGCAGUUGUGUAUCUCCGAGGCGAAUAGUGCACAGAAAUGCUAUAUCAAUGACAAAAAUUUGUUUUGCUAAAAUUGUUCAAAAAGCUCAAAUUUGCAAAUGUUUGUUUGGGUUUUAUCUGACCCGUUAAGAUCAUUUGUAAUGAAUAGACAUUAAAAAAAUAAACACACAAUUUUGGUUCAACUUUAAGAACAGAAAACAACGAAUUAUACGCCACACAUUUUGUUUCCAGCUUUGGAUGUGGUCAUUUUUCGUCAUUGCUUUAUACUACUUCUACCAUUUUUUAUUUCAUUUUUAUGCUGCUUUAGAAUGAAUCAAUGAGUUAUCGAAUGUUUAUGUAUUCAUAUUUAUUUAUCAAAGCUACUUUUAAAGCUACAGUCUGUGAAAUAUUUGUUUGUUUAUAAAAAAUCGAUUUAAAAAAAAUUCUCAAUAUUUGUGCAUAACAAAUAAAUAAAAAAUGUCCACUAUUGAAAUAACAACAUAUCAGCCCAAUGUGCAACCCCUGUGCGCUUUCCGAACAACAUCGACGGGGUUGUUGCGUACGCCACCCCAUUUCAGUCGCAUCGAUUCGUCCGUACACUCAAGUUCGCGCUAGUGUUUUGCGUACGUGUUUCAUGUCGCAUUGAAAACCGGGCGGGCGACUUCGAUUGACUUUUCUUAGUAGUAGAAAGUUUACUGAAUCCUAAAGCAGGUACACAUAAUAUCGCAAAAAAGCGUCAAAUCAUUUGCGGACGAUUUGGUAACGCAUAGUUGUGAUGGUUGUGAAAUUAAUCAAACCGUUGUUCUGCUCAACAAAUGAGGGUCAGUUUGUCGAACGCCAAAGUAAAACAUUUCGAUAGUGGAACAGGGGUGGUUUUUGUUUUGUUUUUUUUUGUGUCGCUGCUGUCGCUUCUGUUGCUUCCGUCGAGGCACAAUGCUAAUCGUGUCAGUGUGGCAGCAUUCUGUGACCCGCUAGUCGCUCGCAGUGAAUAUUUGUGUUGUUUUGAUUUUGUGGGCACUUGCUCGAAUUCAAAAGUGAAGGGCCGUUCAAGUACUGGCUUUGUCAGUGGUCGUGUCCUAGGGGGAGAGGUUAGUGUGCCGUGCACGAAGUUGGGCUGGCAGCGAAAAGUGUCGCUGGAAUGAAGGAGAGCAAAUCCAACCAUCGUGAACUUUGCAGCAUCCGUGUCAAGCGCUGUGCUGAGUGUGUGUGUGUGCGCACUGUGUCUUGUGCAGCUGUGAAACCAAAUAAUUGUCUCUACCAUAUCAUAUUGCAAUCCAGGCGGGCACCGUGGCACGGUGGUUGUGCUGAUUAGAGUGAGUGUGCAAACAUGCCACGACUGGUGUGAUGUUCCGUGGUGCUAGAAGUGUCGAAAAAAGUAAAAAAAUAGAUAGCUGGCAAAAGAAAUAAAUACAAUCGCACAUCAAGUGCUGUUUGCUGUGCUUGACGCGGGUGUGCGAUGUACGGUGGCGCGGUGUGGCAGUGCCUGGCGGGGCAGAAUUGAUAAGAAGUGUAAACAUCGCGAGUUUCUACGGCGCGCGAGGCUCUCGCGUGCGAUUUUCCUUUCCUCGUGCUGCGGCGUGUGUCGUGCCCUGCGUUUGAAAUCGAGCAUCGAGGGUAAUUGCAGUGCGCGUGUGUGAGUGUAGAAGCAUCUUGUGAACUUGACCGGAAGAUAGCAGAAUCGAUCUCUCCCCGUCCGAAGGCAUCUUAUGCUGGUAUUGAUGUGGUGAAUAGUUGCAUUUGUGUGUAUGUGUGAUGUGUGAAGGGGCCUGAUGUGAAAAGCAAGAGAUAAAAAAAUAACAGGAAACCGUGAGUCGACAGGAGGACAACGUUAAUUCAGACGCGUACAUUUGCCUUAGUUCAAGAUGGCUACUUCACCGGCAAAGAAUCCUCUCCCUGUCAUCACGCUAAACAGUGCGAAUUUCAAUGAUUGUAAGGAUCUUGACUCGAUCACCUUCGUAGAUACCGUCGCAUUCUUUCCUUUCGCAACUUGUUACCGUCCGACCAGCGAUGACAUCGACAACGAUCGCACCGGUUGCACCGACAGCGCCAACGCUGGUCGCUCCCUCUACCACAGCCGUCCUGCCGUCUUCGUGCCGUUCUGCCGUGCCGGUGGUUACAAUUCGCAGUGCUGAGCUGCCAAAUACCGGCGACGGUACGGGUGGUACAAACGGUGGUCGUUUGAUACGCAGGAAGGAGUUUCUGGGCGAGUCCAAUCGUACCACAUCGCUAAAGACACUGUCGUGUGAUUUGAGUGAGAUUCUGGUGAAAAAUCUAAGCCUGAGACGCAGCGAAACGUCCGAACGGCGCCCACACGCCGACACACUCGAGCAGCUCGAGCCAGCGACGU